ACAUGACUCGCCUUUUACCAUGCACCCUGGUGGAAUAAAAAUGUACAGAACUAUUAAAGAGCACUAUUGGUGGAUGGGUAUAAAAAAAAUAUGUGGCCAAAUGCCUAACUUGUUAGCAAGUAAAGGCAGAACACCAAGUGCCAACAGGGUUGCUAUAGCCAUUGCCAAUUUCCAAGUGGAAAUAGGAGAGAAUCACUAUGGAUUUCAUAAUAGGAUUUCCCCAUACACAGAAG
rnacentral:misc_RNA from 1 species